ensembl:ncRNA F25H8.9 ncRNA
UCCGCGGGGAAAAGACAAAGGGCAAGAGAGAAGACCGGUUGGGUGUCUUCAGUGACUCUUCUGGGAUGAUGCUAAAUGAGCUUUGUUGUGGGUUCGGCACUAGGUCACCAGGCAC